AUAUAUAUAUAUAUAUAUAUAUAUAUAGAGUGAGGCUACUAUGCUAUCGGAAGCACGAAGCCUUCCGUGCUUCCAGCUCGUUUUCGAUGUUGCGACUUUCGAAUCGUCGAUCGGCUCCGUUAAACAUGAUCUAAAGUAUUUGGAGUACCUAGAAAAUAAAUUUUAUUAUUUUUCGAUAUCAUUUGCCUAGUGAUCGAAUGGACUCAAAAUCAACAAAUUUCAAUGGCUGUAGUGAGCCGUUUGCAAGUUUAACGGUGUAGAAAUAUCCAAAUCACGUGAAAUUUUGAUAGAAAAUUCUUUAUACUAUAUAAAACAAGAUUAAUAUCUUUGAUUUAAAAUUUUAAUGUCAUAUUAUUACAUUUUGUAAGAUUUUUAUUUUCAGCUGUUGAUUUUGAGCCCCUUCGUUCACUAGGCAAAUGAUAUCGUAAAAUCAUAAAAUUUAUUUUCUAGGCACUUCAAAUACUCUAGAUCAAGUUUAACGGAGCCGAUCGACAAUUCGAAAGUAGCAACAUCGAAAACGAGCUGGAAGCACGGAAGGCUCCGUGCUUCCGAUAGCAUAGUAGCCUCACUCUAUAUAUAUAUGUCUCAAUCUACUUUAUUAGCAUAUGCCAAACUAUCACUAUUAUCUCAACUAUGUCAACAGUUCAUCUCAUAAAUUAAAUAAUAAUAUGGAUAUAGAAAUUAGUCUACCAAUUUUGACAACAUGGAACCCACCUGUAACGCAAAUAUAAGAAAAUGAACGGUAGACGGGAUAGCAACCACAACAUUCUAAAAUAGCUCGAAAAUCCUUUGUUAAAAUUAUGCGAAAUCUGCUUCUAAAAUGUAUAUAAAAAAAAUCAGUUUACGAGAAAUAAUAAUAUUGUAAUACUAACCGCGACGUCGAAACACCAAAAAUACACGUCCGCGCCUCAACUCGCUCGCUCGCUCACCUUGCUGGCUGGCUUGCUCGCUCGAAAAAACGAAACCAAGUUUCCUCUCUUUUGUGCUCAAAACCUCUCUCUCUCUCUCUCUCUCUCUCUCUCUCUCUCUCUAUAUCCCUAAAACUUAGCAACAAAAGGAAAGGAUAAGGAUGAAGGAACUUGAUGCCCACGUGAUUCCACCGCUUAAUAAAGCAAAAAUGCCAACAAGCCCCUCUAUAACUAAGUAUUCAACUUUAGCCCUCUACAAUAUAAAUCUUGAGUUUCAAAGUCUGUUUUUACGUCUAUUUUGCGCAAAACGUCUCCAACUCAAUCAAAUAUAAAUUUAUACUGUAACCUUGCCAAUUUGCUAAGCUUCAGUAUAUCACAUCCUUCCCUCUAAAAAAGUUUCGUUCUCGAAACUUAAAAUAUACCUCAAGUCGGCUACUCAAACAAAUAGGGAUAAGAAUCUUUCAUCGCAUCCUUAGGUUCCCAUGUCGUUUCUCACUCUUCCUGAUGACUCCAUAAUACCUUCACAUAAGGAAUAACUCGAUUCCGCAUUUCUUUUACUUUUCGUACAAGAAUUCAAAUCGGUUGCUCAGUAUAACUCAUCUCCUCAGUCACCUCUAGUGGAACAUAAUCUAUUAC
rnacentral:lncRNA from 1 species